GAUGAACGCUGGCGGCGUGCCUAAUACAUGCAAGUCGAGCGAACAGACGAGGAGCUUGCUCCUCUGACGUUAGCGGCGGACGGGUGAGUAACACGUGGAUAACCUACCUAUAAGACUGGGAUAACUUCGGGAAACCGGAGCUAAUACCGGAUAAUAUAUUGAACCGCAUGGUUCAAUAGUGAAAGACGGUUUUGCUGUCACUUAUAGAUGGAUCCGCGCCGCAUUAGCUAGUUGGUAAGGUAACGGCUUACCAAGGCGACGAUGCGUAGCCGACCUGAGAGGGUGAUCGGCCACACUGGAACUGAGACACGGUCCAGACUCCUACGGGAGGCAGCAGUAGGGAAUCUUCCGCAAUGGGCGAAAGCCUGGCAGAGCAACGCCGCGUGAGUGAUGAAGGUCUUCGGAUCGUAAAACUCUGUUAUUAGGGAAGAACAAAUGUGUAAGUAACUAUGCACGUCUUGACGGUACCUAAUCAGAAAGCCACGGCUAACUACGUG
rnacentral:rRNA from 1 species